rnacentral:rRNA from 1 species
CCAGACUCCUACGGGAGGCAGCAGUGGGGGAUAUUGCACAAUGGGGGAAACCCUGAUGCAGCGACGCCGCGUGUGGGAAGACGGUCCUCUGGAUUGUAAACCACUGUCCCCAGGGACGAAGAUGACGGUACCUGGGGAGGAAGCUCCGGCUAACUACGUGCCAGCAGCCGCGGUAAUACGUAGGGAGCGAGCGUUGUCCGGAAUUACUGGGUGUAAAGGGAGCGUAGGCGGCUGUGCAAGUCUGAAGUGAAAGCCCGUGGCUCAACCGCGGAACUGCUUUGGAAACUGUAUAGCUUGAGUACUGGAGAGGCAGGCGGAAUUCCUAGUGUAGCGGUGAAAUGCGUAGAUAUUAGGAGGAACACCAGUGGCGAAGGCGGCCUGCUGGACAGAAACUGACGUUGAGGCUCGAAAGCGUGGGGAGCAAACAGGAUUAGAUACCCGGGUAC